GAUGAACGCUGGCGGCGUGCCUAAUACAUGCAAGUCGAGCGAACGGACGAGAAUCUUGCUUCUCUGAUGUUAGCGGCGGACGGGUGAGUAACACGUGGAUAACCUACCUAUAAGACUGGGAUAACUUCGGGAAACCGGAGCUAAUACCGGAUAAUAUUUUGAACCGCAUGGUUCAAAAGUAAAAGACGGUCUUGCUGUCACUUAUAGAUGGAUCCGCGCUGCAUUAGCUAGUUGGUAAGGUAACGGCUUACCAAGGCAACGAUGCAUAGCCGACCUGAGAGGGUGAUCGGCCACACUGGAACUGAGACACGGUCCAGACUCCUACGGGAGGCAGCAGUAGGGAAUCUUCCGCAAUGGGCGAAAGCCUGACGGAGCAACGCCGCGUGAGUGAUGAAGGUCUUCGGAUCGUAAAACUCUGUUAUUAGGGAAGAACAUAUGUGUAAGUAACUGUGCACAUCUUGACGGUACCUAAUCAGAAAGCCACGGCUAACUACGUG
rnacentral:rRNA from 1 species